GAUGAACGCUGGCGGCGUGCCUAAUACAUGCAAGUCGAGCGAACAGAUGAGGAGCUUGCUCCUCUGACGUUAGCGGCGGACGGGUGAGUAACACGUGGAUAACCUACCUAUAAGACUGGGAUAACUUCGGGAAACCGGAGCUAAUACCGGAUAAUAUAUUGAACCGCAUGGUUCAAUAGUGAAAGACGGUUUUGCUGUCACUUAUAGAUGGAUCCGCGCCGCAUUAGCUAGUUGGUAAGGUAACGGCUUACCAAGGCGACGAUGCGUAGCCGACCUGAGAGGGUGAUCGGCCACACUGGAACUGAGACACGGUCCAGACUCCUAAGGGAGGCAGCAGUAGGGAAUCUUCCGCAAUGGGCGAAAGCCUGACGGCGCAACGCCGCGUGAGUGAUGAAGGUCUUCGGAUCGUAAAACUCUGUUAUUAGGGAAGAACAAAUGUGUAAGUAACUAUGCACGUCUUGACGGUACCUAAUCAGAAAGCCACGGCUAACUACGUG
rnacentral:rRNA from 1 species